rnacentral:rRNA from 1 species
UACAGAGGUCUCAAGCGUUGUUCGGAUUCAUUGGGCGUAAAGGGUGCGUAGGUGGCGCGCUAAGUCAGGUGUGAAAUCUCGGGGCUUAACUCCGAAACUGCAUUUGAUACUGGCGUGCUUGAGGACUGGAGAGGAGACUGGAAUUCAUGGUGUAGCAGUGAAAUUCGUAGAUAUCGGGAGGAACACCGGUGGCGAAGGCGGCGACCUGGGUCGAGACUGACGCUGAGGCGCGAAAGCUAGGGGAGCAAACGGG